ACGGGAGGCAGCAGUGAGGAAUAUUGGUCAAUGGAGGCAACUCUGAACCAGCCAUCUCGCGUGAAGGAAUACGGCCCUACGGGUCUUAAACUUCUUUUAUAGGGGGAUAAAGUGAGAUACGCGUAUCUUUUUGUAGGUACCCUAUGAAUAAGCAUCGGCUAACUCCGUGCCAGCAGCCGCGGUAAUACGGAGGAUGCGAGCGUUAUCCGGAUUUAUUGGGUUUAAAGGGUGCGCAGGCGGGCUGGUAAGUCAGCGGUGAAAUGUCGGGGCUCAACCCCGGCAGUGCCGUUGAUACUGUCGGUCUUGAGUGCGGUGAAGGCAGGCGGAAUGCAGUGUGUAGCGGUGAAAUGCGUAGAUAUGCUGCAGAACUCCGAUAGCGAAGGCAGCUUGCCGUACCUGCACUGACGCUCAUGCACGAAAGCGUGGGGAUCAAACAGGAUUAGAUACCCUGGUA
rnacentral:rRNA from 1 species